GGGAGAAGGGCUUGUGGGUCACAGGAUCGAUACCCAUCCCGGAGAGCUUCUUCUUCAGCUUGGUGUUCCAGUGGUUCUUCACGUCGUUGUCCGUGCGCCCUGGCAACUGCGCGGCUAUCAAGGACCACCUAUAGUGCCCCAAACCAGGUGUGACUGAGAAAUUCAAAUUAUGUUUUGCAAUUCAAUCAAAAGAAAAUUCUUUCUUUGGUGUGUUAAUCAGAAGAGAUCAGCUUUGGUAUUGUGCAAUUUGCAGUAAAAUUGUCACUGCCAACCGCUACAGCACCUUAGGUUGUGGGGCCAGCUAACCUUUCUGUGCUAGAAGUUUGAACAGCUAUUGCAGAAUUUAUGCCAAACAAGGCUUAUGCUAUAGAAAAACUAUAAUGAAUAAUUUUAAGUACCCAGAAGGGGUUUGCGCGUGAAGAUGCAGGUUUAAGUUGCAGUGGGAUGAUACAAGAAGCAUGAAGAAGAGCAUUGCCUGUUUCCAACAACAGAGUGCAGUUUGACUAUGGUUUGCUCUUCACACUCGGAGAACUCUCCAUGCUUGAGAUCAGGGCGGAGGUAGUUUGUCCACCGGAGCCGGCAACUCUUUCCACAUCGCUGCAGACCUAUUGCCCACGUUUGGCAAGUCACGGGUAAGUUACAUGCAACAAGUUUGUAAUUCUCACAUAUAGAAACUUCACCAGGAAACAGCUAAAUGCCUACUUGGCCUUGCUUAGAGAAUAUCUUCUUACUAAGAAGCAACAGCCGCAGUUUUGACGAACAAAAGAAUCCUAAAAAAUCUAGAGCUUCUGGUAUUUGGAAGCCAAAAUGAGUUUCCAGUCCAAUGAAUAGAAGCUACGAAAAUUUUUCAUGUAGUGGUUACUAGAAAUUCUACUUUUACAGCAUCCAAGCUAAACAGGCUUCUGAGCACAAAUCAAUUAAAGCUUUAGUAGGCACAUAGUCUACAGUAUAGGGCUGUGGAAUUAAUACGCCUGGGAUGAGGUUUGUGUAGCUACCAGCGUUCUUAGGGAUGAGACGCCAGUUGCGGGUUCCAUGUUGCGCGAUAUAGGAGGAUAGCUUGUUGUCUUCCUCCGGGGUCCACUGUCCUCUUUUUACGUUGUCCUUCUCACAACACGGGAUCCUGCCCAUUCUUAUCUUGCUGGCUUUAUCUCUCUUUAUAUCUAAUCUUAAUCUUACUACUCCCCUCUUCGGGCCUCUCUCUCUCUCUCUCUCUCUCUCUCUCUCUCUCUCUCUCUGGAGAUUCGCUGCACCUAACUAAUUAACCCACUCUGGAAAAGGUAAAGACUAGGAGAAAGAGGUUUCACCGUUCCUUCUUUUUCCCUAUUCUAUCUUUUGCUCGUCUUUGUAUUGUAUAAGGCGGUAGCUAUUAAUAUUAUUUGUCCAUGUAGAGAGAGAUGUGAGGAGGGAAGUGGGGGUUCACGUGUGGAUGCAUGGAAGGCUCAAUGAGCAUGAUUUGUAUAAAGAAUUCAACGCCCGUUGAGUGCGUGAGGCUCGGGGCAGGUGGCUCACCCACAAGAUGCCUGGUCAACCCUCACGUCUCUCUCUCUCUCCUCGUUGACCUCUGAAAUUGAGCAUCUGAACGGAAGUGCAGGUUGUUUCUACCCUUAAUUAUUAGCAUUUACUAACUCUUUGAUUGUGCGCGGAGCUUAUUAAGGUAUCUUAUGUGUGCUCGCUUUCGACGCCUGAGAUGAUUCUGCUAUAUUUUUCUUUUGCCCAUUUAUCUUGCUAUUGUGAUCAAUAAUAUUUGAAUAUGACAAUGCGUUCCGAGCUCACAAACUCUAGGCCUAAGAUGCAUGGGCUCGCAACUCCAAUGUUUAUAUUCAAGCAAAAGACGUGAUCUGGGAUUCACAUUGCAAAGAAGGCUUGGUCUUUAAACAUGCUAUGCUAUUAUUUCAUUA
rnacentral:lncRNA from 1 species